GCGGCGGCGAGCGGGAC
rnacentral:miRNA from 1 species